rnacentral:lncRNA from 12 species
AUGAUCAUAACGUUUGCCAUAUUCGUUGUCAUGUUGCCAGGUCUUGUACAAAGUCAGAAAGUGGACCAGUCUCCACGGGACCUGAUAAGAAAGCUCACAGAAUCUGCUGUUCUCACUUGCUCACAUUCAGACCAAGGCUUUGAACUCAUCCUUUGGUAUAAACGAUCUGAUGAUAAGGGAUUAAUUUUUCUAGGUUAUCUCAAUAAUAAUUUUCCAAAUCCCGAAGAUGAGUUCAAACACAAAAUCGACCUAGCUGGAGAUGGCAGAAGUAGUGCCACACUAACAAUAAAAGAUCUGACAGAAGACAGCAGCGGAGUCUAUUACUGUGCAGCUCGGAGACACAGUGUGAUAAAUCCCCACAACCCAGCGCAAAAACAUCCUUAUCACAUAUUAAUAUCUGUAGUGUGCACUAAAAGAGGAGAUGCUGUUCACCUGCAACAAGCCACUAAACCUAUAUUUUACUGUGACAGUCACAAAACAAACCACUUCUCUGUCCUUCCAUGUUUAUAAGGCUUUUCUUUUAGUUACAAGGUCGACCAGUCUCCAGCUGAAGUAAUUAAGAGACGAGGAGAAUCUGCAGAGAUCCGGUGUUCACACAGUGUGCCCAGUUACAAUCAAAUCAGCUUGUACAGGCAAAACCAGGACCAAGGGUUCACACUCAUGGGAUAUUUGUUUGCAACAUCAAACAUCAGUGAAAAAGAAUUCAUGGAUAAAAUAAUCAUGUCUGGGAAUGGAAAUAGCGAUGGACUUUUUACCAUCAAAAACCUUGCAUCUAGUGACAGUGCAGUGUAUUUUUGUGCUGCGUGUUACACAAUGUUUUAGAUCCCUGACAUUCAUUACAAAAACUUCUCUUUAAUUAACAGAUAAAACAAAAUGAAAAAAAAAAGUUUUCAUUUACACCUGCUCCUGUGGUUUAUAUUUGAGACUUGUCUGUGAGAGUUUUCAAUGAGAAACACAUCAUAUUCAUAGU